rnacentral:rRNA from 1 species
UACGUAGGGUGCAAGCGUUGUCCGGAAUUAUUGGGCGUAAAGAGCUCGUAGGCGGUUUGUUGCGUCGGCUGUGAAAUCCCGAGGCUCAACCUCGGGUCUGCAGUCGAUACGAGCAAACUAGAGUGUUGCAGGGGAGACUGGAAUUCCUGGUGUAGCGGUGAAAUGCGCAGAUAUCAGGAGGAACGCCCGGUGGCGAAGGCGGGUCUCUGGGCAGUAACUGACGCUGGAGGAGCGAAAGCGUGGGGAGCGAACAGG